rnacentral:rRNA from 1 species
GACGGAGGAUGCAAGCGUUUAUCCGGGGAUGAUUGGGGCGUAAAGCGUCCGCAGGUGGCAGUUCAAGUCUGCUGUCAAAGACCGGGGCUUAACUUCGGAAAGGCAGUGGAAACUGAACAGCUAGAGUAUGGUAGGGGCAGAGGGAAUUCCUGGUGUAGCGGUGAAAUGCGCAGAUAUCAGGAGGAACACCCGGUGGCGAAGGGCGGGGUCUCUGGGCCGUAACUGACGCUGAGGAGCGAAAAGCGUGGGGGAGCAAACAGGG